rnacentral:rRNA from 1 species
UGGGGAAUAUUGGGCAAUGGGCGAGAGCCUGACCCAGCAACGCCGCGUGAGGGAAGAAGGCCUUCGGGUUGUAAACCUCUGUCCUUGGUGACGAAAAAGAUGACGGUAGCCAAGGAGGAAGCCCCGGCUAACUACGUGCCAGCAGCCGCGGUAAUACGUAGGGGGCGAGCGUUGUCCGGAAUUACUGGGCGUAAAGGGUGCGUAGGUGGCCUUUUAAGUUGGAUGUGAAAUACCCGGGCUUAACUUGGGGGGUGCAUCUAAUACUGGAGGGCUAGAGUGCAGGAGAGGGAAGCGGAAUUCCUAGUGUAGCGGUGAAAUGCGUAGAUAUUAGGAGGAACACCAGUGGCGAAGGCGGCUUUCUGGACUGUAACUGACACUGAGGCACGAAAGCGUGGGGACCAAACAG